GAUGUCCUCUGCAGAUUUAAAAUGUGUGCCUUCUUUUCCGUCACCAAGUCAUCCCUGGGUUACUACUGAACAUCCUUCUCAAUUCCCCCCGACCCAUGGAUGGCUGUUCUCCAUUGUCUGUUUCACCAGAUGUCCUCAAAACAAACAGACAGAAGAAGGAAGUGGCUAAUGGAGCUGUGGAGUCCAAGUGUGACUGCCAAGAGGAAUCCAGCAAAGCCAAAAAGCCCAAGCAUGUAGCCCUGCCCGAAGCACGCCACACGCAUGGAAAACCCAGAGGAAAUGAGUGAGGAUCAAUGGGAAGAAGAGAGCCAGCCAGGUUCGAUGCCUUCUCCAUCCGUCAGUGAGGGUGUGGAGAGCCUGCAGGCGUGUGCCUCCCUCUGUAACUUGCUAUUCCUUGUGUAAUGUCAAGUGGAAGUGUGAAGCACCACAAACUGCUCUGAGCAGAGCCCACUUCCCUUCACCCACGGAGAGCGUGAAGCAGUUACACCAACAUCAAUCAAGGAAAACCCACAGGCUGAGCUCACACGGUUGAAGCAGGAAGUUGAAGAUUUGUCCAGGAGCAGAUAGCUGAAGAGAGAGAGAGAGAAGAGAGAACGGCUUACAGCUCAGGUCCUCUCUCCAUGCUUAGGAACCACUACAAAUGCUACUGCCUUGAGUCUCAUUUUGUUUCCCUCUGGAAACCACAUGUGUACCUUGUUUGCAACAGUAUGGG
rnacentral:lncRNA from 1 species